UACAGAGGUCUCAAGCGUUGUUCGGAUUCAUUGGGCGUAAAGGGUGCGUAGGCUGGCGCGGUAAGUCGGGUGUGAAAUCUUGGAGCUUAACUCCGAAACUGCAUUCGAUACUGCCGUGCUUGAGGACUGGAGAGGAGACUGGAAUUCCUGGUGUAGCGGUGAAAUGCGCGAUAUCAGAGGAAGACCGGUGGCGAAGGCGGGAUCUCUGG
rnacentral:rRNA from 1 species